CCUUGCUUUUCAAUUCUUCUUCUAUUUCUUUUUCUAUUUCUAUUUCUUUUUCUUUUUUAGUGGA
rnacentral:ribozyme from 12 species